GCUUGUCUCAAAGAUUAAGCCAUGCAUGUCUUAGUGUAAAUAACUCUUAUGAAACUGCGAAUGGCUCAUUAAAUCAGUUAUCAAAUACGUGAUGGUCGCCUACUACAUGGAUAACCGUAGUAAUUCUAGAGCUAAUACAUGCACAAAGGCCCACUCACGUGGGUUGUGAUUAUUAGAUUCAAACCGGCCUCGUUCUGGUGAUUCAUAAUAACCGAACGAACCGCGUUCAGCGGUGAUUCUUUCUACAUUAUUCCCUAUCAGCUUUCGUUUUUUGUGUAGUGGACAAAAAAGGCUUUGACGGGUAACGGAGAAUUAGGGUUCGAUUCCGGAGAGGGAGCCUGAGAGAUGGCUACCACAUCCAAGGAAGGCAGCAGG
rnacentral:rRNA from 1 species